GACGAACGCUGGCGGCGUGCUUAACACAUGCAAGUCGAACGGGCCUUGUCCCCUUUUUUUUUGGGGGUGGGGUUAGUGGCGAACGGGUGAGUAACACGUGAGUAACCUGCCCCUCACUUCUGGAUAACCGCUUGAAAGGGUGGCUAAUACGGGGUGUUCUGGCCUGCUCGCAUGGGUGGGUUUGGAAAGUUUCGCCCGGUUUUGGUUGUUUUGGUGGGGGAUGGGCUCGCGGCCUAUCAGAGUGUUGGUGGGGUGAUGGCCUGCCAAGGCUUUGGCGGGUAGCCGGCCUGAGAGGGUGGGCGGUCACACUGGGACUGAGACACGGCCCAGACUCCUACGGGAGGCAGCAGUGGGGAAUAUUGCACAAUGGGCGCAAGCCUGAUGCAGCGACGCCGCGUGAGGGAUGGAGGCCUUCGGGUUGUGAACCUCUUUCGCCAGUGAAGAAGGUCCUGCUCUUUGUGGUGGGGUUGACGGUAGCUGGGUUAAUGAAGCGCCGGCUAACUACGUG
rnacentral:rRNA from 1 species